rnacentral:rRNA from 1 species
GUCGGUGGUGGCGUGGGUCGCACCUCAAACUAGGUAGUCGGCCUUGUGCCCUCGGGCCUCUCACGGGUUUGCGCCGGGUCGCCGAGGUUGCUUGCCCGUCCGGGUAGGGUUCGGGCGGGCGUCGCAGUGCCCGUGCUGUGCUCGCGUCCGUUCCCCGUCUGUCGUUUUGUGGAUUUGGGUUCCCAGGCGUUCCCUUUUGUGCGCGUUGUGGUUCCGUCGGGCACCGCCGGGUGUGCGGUCGGAGGCCUGGGUCCGCCGUGCGGUAUAAAUGUUUGAGGGGGAGGCUCGGGGGCGUGGCUGGGGCAGUAGGGGGGGCGCCGGGUUUAGCGUGGCUCUUGGGCGCACGAGAGCGGCGGAGGAGGAGGGAGGGGGGCGCCGCAGCGGCUUGCUUUGGGAUCGAGCCAGCGCGGGCGGGCGCGGCAGCAGAGCGGCCUCUCGCCUCUCCCGCCUCUCCCUCUCCCUCUCCCUCGCCCUCCGCCCCUACCCCUUCUUCUUCUUCGCCCACCUCUUCCACAAGACGAUGAUGACGCUGGCCCUCAAGCUGCUGCUCUUCUAGGACCACGUCGUGGUCUUCCGGUUCGUGAAGUUCACGGUGCAGACGGUGUUCUUCGAGAGCUGGCGGCCGCCGUACCGGUAGGUGCAGGAGGUCCAGGUGUUCCUCAGGCAGUGGUUCCAAGGCUUACGGUUCGGGCUCUCCCUAAGGUGGCUCUAGCUCUAGAAGCCGUACGUCCCCUAGGGGAGGCUGCACGAGCGGCGGGUGAUACCCCUUCUCCUUCUAGGAAGUAGUUUCCACCGGUUUCAUCUUCACGGCUGUUAUUCUGGAGGAUAAUACGGAUUAAUAGGCGAUCCGUACGGAAAAGGAGGAGCCGGAAUACCACGUCGGGCGGGAUACAUAUUAGGACGUUACUACCAGGCUGGAGGCUAAACCGGAGAAGUCGUCGGCGUUGGAACCAAACGAGUUGUUGGUGGCCAAAGUCAAGGGGGUUACUACCGACCCGUUCGUGGUGUCGUUGGUGAUAAGGGGUAAGUUUUGUACGGGUUAGGAUACUACUGUAGUCGUGGACGAUUAAAUGAAGUCUGUAGUAUGCGAUACGGGUGGUGUCCCCAAGGAAGUGGACAACGGGGAGUCCGAAGGGUCGGAAACAAAGGGCAAUUGUGGUCACCGUUACCUCGUCGUUUAAGCAGUAAGUCGAGCAGUUAAAGUGGACGUUGAUAACGUCGUUUAAGAGGUCGUAGUCAACCAUGACGUCCUAUACCGAUACAUCGAUUAUUGGUACCAUGUCCUCCCGGUCGUUAACCUGUCGGUGGACGUGGACGGUGAUUAUCAUUUUGCAGACGAUGAGUUGGUCGAUGCUCACUCCAGAUAGACCACACCCUACUACUUCGUUACAGUUACCUCCUUUCUUCCAACCGCGACGGGUACAUGGUCCACGUACUGCUUUGAUCGGUCCAUUCAAGACCGAAAAAUACAAAGGUAAUGGUUACUAGAGAGUUUUUAGUAACCUCACGCCGUGGACAUCUCGUUCAAUAUGCUCGAAACUUUCUCUCUUUAUGUACAACUUAAAUGUACCUUUAUACUCUACAUAAGGAAGUCAUCAACCGAACAAUGUAUGAAGGAGACAAGCUUUUAUGAACCUUCAAGAUCCAAACAGGAUUCAGUUUGUAUAGUUUGUAGACAUACAAUCUGGUUUCGGAUUAUCCUAUUUGGAUCUUGAAGGUUCAUAAACCUUUGCCUACCACAUACACUCUACCAAGGGAUAAUAUGAUGGGAAAAUGUAUAAGUACUGUAGAUGAACCACAAAUAAACAAACUAGUAGAUAUAGGACGACUAAAGCGCGUGUAGUCCUCAAGGUUCAUCCAUAAAUGUAACAAGAAGGACGAUCAUUCAAAAAAAUGUUAGACUGUUUAGAGUACCACGAUUACUGAACUCCCAAUAGCCGGUUCGGGACCUGUCAUGCGUUUGCACAUACAUAAUUAAAGUCAAAUUCGUAAUAUGAAUAUAAAAAAAAUGCUAAGUGGUGCACGCCGACUCGAAGACGGUCAUGACAUCGUAAAUAUUGAAUUAAAACUAGCUCUUACACCACUCUCAAACCAAGGUCCAGUCGAAAGUAUACCGGACACUCGGUAGUUGAAAACAAGUAUUUCUCCUUUAAGAGUACGAGACAAUAAACAAGGGUUCAAUGCCUCUAGUUUAGAUUAUGGUGGAAAGAAACAGAACUUUGAAAACACCUGUCUACUCGAGCCAACUACGUCGCAAGCUAGCUUCUUAUAGUCUAUAAUGUAAAAGAUCUGUUAACUGUAUUUGUUCGACGCGGACCACAAGUCAUUUGUCGAACUACGCUAAGUGGUUGCCCGAGUGGGCACGUAGGUACCCUCCCUGCGGCACGUUAGCCACCAGGACCUAGGGGGGACAACAACUAGAUGAAUCAAUCACUGACCUCGAUGGCGUCACCUUUCUAACACAACCAGACUGAACCUCUAAAACUAAGUUGUAGCAAACAGGACAGAAAAGCAUGGCUCUCACCUUUGGACAAUCUGGAUCUUCAGUAAACAAGGCAACAGCUAACUGACUGCUAUACUCAUAGAAGUCGAGACAUUUGGACUGCUACUCUAAUCGUCACAGAAAAGUCGCCGACACGACGACAACUCAUGGUAUACAACAACCGUGGCAGUAAAACGGAAGGCGUCGCACUAGUACAUAGGUACCGAUCGUUUUCGUUUUCUCCACAACGAACAAAGUCGUUUAAAGAGUAUCCCUUACGUUAAGAAGAGAGGCCAUGAU